rnacentral:rRNA from 1 species
GGAUUAGAUACCCUGGUAGUCCAUGCCGUAAACGAUGAUAACUAGCUAUUGGCGAUACACUGUCAGUGGCAAAGCGAAAGCAUUAAGUUAUCCACCUGGGAAGUACGGUCGCAAGAUUGAAACUCAAAGGAAUUGACGGGGGCCCGCACAAGCGGUGGAGCAUGUGGUUUAAUUCGAUGAUACGCGAGGAACCUUACCAGGGCUUAAAUGAAGAUUGACAGGACUGGAAACAGUUUUUUCUUCGGACAAUUUUCAAGGUGCUGCAUGGUUGUCGUCAGCUCGUGCUG